GAUGAACGCUGGCGGCGUGCUUAACACAUGCAAGUCGAACGGAAAGGCUCCUGCUUGCCGGGGUACUCGAGUGGCGAACGGGUGUGUAACACGUGGGUGAUCUGCCCUGCACUUCGGGAUAAGCCUGGGAAAAUGGGUCUAAUACCGGAUAGGACCUCAUUUUGGAUGGUGUGGUGGAAAGUUUUUCGGUGUGGGUUGGGCUGGCGGCCUAUCCGCUUGUUGGUGGGGUAAUGGCUUACCAAGGCGUUGACGGGUAGCCGGCCUGAGAGGGUGGACGGCCACAUUGGGACUGAGAUACGGCCCAGACUCCUACGGGAGGCAGCAGUGGGGAAUAUUGCACAAUGGGCGCAAGCCUGAUGCAGCGACGCCGCGUGGGGGAUGACGGCCUUCGGGUUGUAAACUCCUUUCGCUAGGGACGAAGCGCAAGUGACGGUACCUGGAGAAGAAGCACCGGCUAACUACGUG
rnacentral:rRNA from 1 species